AGAACGAACGCUGGCGGCAUGCCUAAUACAUGCAAGUCGAACGAACUCUUCGGAGUUAGUGGCGCACGGGUGCGUAACGCGUGGGAAUCUGCCCCUUGGUUCGGAAUAACAGUUGGAAACGACUGCUAAUACCGGAUGAUGACGAAAGUCCAAAGAUUUAUCGCCAAGGGAUGAGCCCGCGUAGGAUUAGCUAGUUGGUGAGGUAAAGGCUCACCAAGGCAACGAUCCCUAGCUGGUCUGAGAGGAUGAUCAGCCACACUGGGACUGAGACACGGCCCAGACUCCUACGGGAGGCAGCAGUGGGAAUAUUGCACAAUGGGCGAAAGCCUGAUGCAGCGACGCCGCGUGAGGGAUGGACGGCCUUCGGGUUGUAAACCUCUUUCAGUAGGGAAGAAGCGAAAGUGACGGUACCUGCAGAAGAAGCGACGGCUAACUACGUGCCAGCAGCCG
rnacentral:rRNA from 1 species